rnacentral:rRNA from 1 species
UACAGAGGGGGCGAGCGUUGUUCGGAAUUACUGGGCGUAAAGGGCGCGUAGGCGGCCAACUAAGUCAGACGUGAAAUCCCCAGGCUCAACUUGGGAACUGCGUCUGAUACUGGAUGGCUUGAAUUCGGGAGAGGGAUGCAGAAUUCCAGGUGUAGCGGUGAAAUGCGUAGAUAUCUGGAGGAAUACCGGUGGCGAAGGCGGCAUCCUGGACCGAGAUUGACACUGAUGAGCGAAAGCUAGGGGAGCAAACGGG